GAUGAACGCUGGCGGCGUGCCUAAUACAUGCAAGUCGAGCGAACGGACGAGAAGCUUGCUUCUCUGAUGUUAGCGGCGGACGGGUGAGUAACACGUGGAUAACCUACCUAUAAGACUGGGAUAACUUCGGGAAACCGGAGCUAAUACCGGAUAAUAUUUUGAACCGCAUGGUUCAAAAGUGAAAGACGGUCUUGCUGUCACUUAUAGAUGGAUCCGCGCUGCAUUAGCUAGUUGGUAAGGUAACGGCUUACCAAGGCAACGAUGCAUAGCCGACCUGAGAGGGUGAUCGGCCACACUGGAACUGAGACACGGUCCAGACUCCUACGGGAGGCAGCAGUAGGGAAUCUUCCGCAAAGGGCGAAAGCCUGACGGAGCAACGCCGCGUGAGUGAUGAAGGUCUUCGGAUCGUAAAACUCUGUUAUUAGGGAAGAACAUAUGUGUAAGUAACUGUGCACAUCUUGACGGUACCUAAUCAGAAAGCCCCGGCUAACUACGUG
rnacentral:rRNA from 1 species